rnacentral:lncRNA from 1 species
GGACAGAGGCCAGACUGCAACUUAAGCUAUCUGGAAUCUUACCUCUGCUGUCUUACUGGCUGUCUACAUGGGGCUACAUUUUAACUAUGGCUUACAGAAAUCAUUGCCUGUCAACAGCCUCCACCCCCACCUCCCCACCCCCACUCUUGGGAAUGGACUCUGACAAACUCACCAUCAGGAAAGUUGAUGUUUCCCAUCUAGGAUGGAAGAAUGGGAUUCUGAACUUUGUCACUGUUUCUGAAACGUCAUCAGCUCCUGUAAUUGCAUGGUUGGGACAGAUCUAUUUAAAUUGCUUUGAAGUUUUCCCAGGAAAUUCCCACAAAAUUGUGCAACCCAAGGAAUUGAGGUGGAAAAAAUGGCACUGGCAUCAAUUUGCUUCUCACCACGACCUUGUGAAGGAGGCAGGUAGCCACUCAUAUUUAUGAUUUAAAAAAUGAGGGAUCAACAAUUAAAGGGGUAACAGUUCUAGGUGCUUGGACUAUUAGUUUUAUCAAAAACACAGUCGGUAUAGGUUCAUUGACAGCUGGCAUUCAUCAUCUGAAAUUAGAUCCCCCUUUGAAAUUAUUCUUUCUCUCAUUUUCCUUGCUUUUACAUAGAAGUUUUUUCUUUUUUUUUUCUGUAAAUAGUUAGAUAAUGGCAUGGGAUGACACUGCAAAUAGGCAAUAUACCAUACAAUCAAUUCCAUGUAUUAAUUCCAGAACAGUUUCCUCAUUAAUGGAAAUACAGGAUGCAUUCUGGUAUCAUUAUUGUUGACAUUUCUCUUUGCUUUUAUUAUAUUCAAUAAAAUAUUGUAUUCAACAGCUUACCUCAGA